GAUACCUGGAAUGAGCUGUACUUGGCAUAGGAGCCUUUCCCUUGGAAAUCUUCUCUCCAGAGUGUGGCCGCUGUGUGCAAACCUCUUAUGCCCCACACUGAGCCUCCUCACUCACGGUCCAGCCCCCACCGUCCACAUCCAUGUCACAGAGCACAGUCAGUGGCCGGCAGUCAGGAAGAUGGAUGGUGUACCAGCCAGUCAGGAAGAUGCCCCGUGUCAGCAAGUCUUUGCAGCUCCGGGGUCCUGUACCAUGGGGAAGUGGGCAGGGUUGGCCUGUAUCUGGGGUAUACUCCCUGGGUGGGGUCCUGCUGUAUUCUUGAGAGCAGGAAGUAGGAGGGGCCAGCUGAGAGGUCACUUACCUCUCUGGCACAGGGUGUCUCCCAGCUCCUUUUCACCUGGGCAGAGUCAUGAGUGUUAUUUUCUUCCUUGGUCCCUUCCCAUCACAUAUAACUCCCCUAGACUCCAUAUUCUACUUGGCAUACAUGGUGCCGUACCCUCCUGCUAAAGAGCCCAGCACACCCAUCCUGGCUGGCCCCAUUAGGCUCCUUUGUGUUUGGCUGCUGUUAUGCAUUGUCCUGUCUGUGACUAUACCCAGAGUUGGGAUAGGUCAGGGUGCUGGCUGGGAGGCUGGCUGGGCCCACAGAUGCUUCAUGCUACUUCAGCCCCCGAAGCUCACUCUUCUUCACUCACAACCAGAGGGUAAAGACACUGGAAACGUUAGAAGAGACUAUGGGAUGUACUUACCCAGAGAUGGCGCAGCUCCUGUAUCGCCUUUCUCCCCUGGAGGAAUACAGCAUACUAGCCUUGUCCCAGAGCUGGAAUCCUGCCACAUCCUCUCCUGUACCCCUCCCAGCUUCCAGCCUCUCCCCUAGUCUGUGAGCCCCCAACAUUCUGAUAUGCAUAAUGAUCCGGGGAGACUUUGGGGACCCCUGAAGUAGUGCUUCUGGGAACACCCACCUUUCUUUGUAUUCAAGACUCCCCUUAAGCCAACAAGACCCUAAUCCCAUAUUGCUCCAUGUGGAGCUGUCCUUCCUGGUCCCUUCCUAAGGAGACUUGUUUACUAGGCUCACCUUUAACUCCCGGGGGCCCCAUGGUUCCUGGCUCUCCUGUAGACAGAAGGGGCAUUCUUACAGUGCUGGUUCUUUUUCACUUCAGUGUGUGUGUGUGUGUGUGUGUGUGUGUGUGUGUGUAUCCACCUAUGUGUCCAUCCAUGCGAGCAGAACUUGUAGGAGAGAGAUCUGAAUGCCCAGCCUGUAGGAAGGGGGCAGGCAUGCAUCUGGACAUAGGGGAGGAUGGUGUGUGGGCUCAGGUGCUACUGGCACCACUCUCAAGACCUGUCUGGAUCUUAGGCAGAUAGACCCAUGUGAGAAUUCCCUCUUACCUUUGCUGCCGGCAGGUCCCAUCUUUCCUGGGCUGCCCUGAAAGCCCCGUUCUCCUGUAAACACAAGGACUAAACUGGAUCUCAUCUCCUAGGCUGCCCUUCUAAAAUGUCCCAUCUCCUGCUGCCACAUGUGCAGGCAUAUGCAGGCUGCUGACCUCCCUCUGUCCUCACUGGCACCAGUUCCUACAGGAAGUGCUCUUUCCUGCCCCAGGCCUGAACCCUGAGGUUCAUCGGAGUAGCCAGCUCUCUAACAGCAAUGGCUUCCCCCAUCUCCAACUGCAGCAAGCUGAGCACAGCCCAGGCGUGUUGUAUGCAGCAGGCGGCUUAUAUUGCAGCAGCUUCUGGCUGAGUCUCCAGUUCCCAACUCCCUGCAGAGGCACGGGGACUCAUGCACAACUGCUUCUGGUUUUCUAUAUUCUCUCAGGGAAUCUGAAGUAUUGGCUACAGACCCAGGCUUGCCUGCCACUUCAAGGUGCAGAGUGGUGAGUGCCACUACAAAGAAUAACUAUGUGAUGGAGAGGUGAGUGUUGAGGCCCCUCUGCCCAGCAUAGCUGUAGCCAUUUUGUUCCAUACCCCCCAGCUAUUUCAUAAUGUUGCUGUAAUCUGCCCGCCAGUCAUUGACACAGAAAAGUAAUUUGACUGAGAGCAAGGUCAAGAUGACCACAUACCCUUAUAUGUUUUGUAUGUACUGAGGUUUGUUAAUCUUAAGACAUUCCAGAACCACAAGCUACACUUUAGGACCCAUCAAAUUAAAGGUCAAUACGAACUGGUUGUCUAAAACAGCUUGAGUCAGGGCCGAUCACUGGGCAGCACUUCCAGCACUUGCAUAUGAGCUCAUUGUGGUUUUUAUGAUUCUAGCCUUUAUAAGCUGGCCCUGAGAAGUGUCCAGUGUGUAGCUUCCACUUGUGCAGCCGGAGCUGUCACCCUGGUCCGAUCAGUCUUGGAGUGUGCAUUCAAUAAACCAACCCUGUUUAACUGAGA